AGCAGCCGCGGUAAUUCCAGCUCCAAUAGCGUAUAUUAAAGUUGUUGCAGUUAAAAAGCUCGUAGUUGAAUUUCGGGAUCAAUUUGCUGGUCGUGCCUUUGGUACGCACUGGUAUUAUUGGUUUCUCCUUUCUGAUGAAUCGCGAUGUCAUUAAUUUGGUGUCGUGGGGAAUCAGGACCGUUACUUUGAAAAAAUUAGAGUGUUUAAAGCAGGCUCACGCUUGAAUACAUUAGCAUGGAAUAAUGAAAUAGGACGUUUGAUUCUAUUUUGUUGGUUUCUAGGAUCGACGUAAUGAUUAAUAGGGAUAGUUGGGGGCAUUAGUAUUCAAUUGUCAGAGGUGAAAUUCUUGGAUUUAUUGAAGACUAACUACUGCGAAAGCAUUUGCCAAGGAUGUUUUCAUUAAUCAAGAACGAAAGUUAGGGGAUCGAAGACGAUCAGAUACCGUCGUAG
rnacentral:rRNA from 1 species